GGUUCUAUGGUUUAAUGGUUAGCACUCUGGACUUUGAAUCCAGCGAUCAGAGUUCAAAUCUCGGUAGGACCU
rnacentral:tRNA from 1 species